AUGAACGCUGGCGGCGUGCCUAAUACAUGCAAGUCGCGCGAACAGACGAGGAGCUUGCUCCUCUGACGUUAGCGGCGGACGGGUGAGUAACACGUGGAUAACCUACCUAUAAGACUGGGAUAACUUCGGGAAACCGGAGCUAAUACCGGAUAAUAUAUUGAACUGCAUGGUUCAAUAGUGAAAGACGGUUUUGCUGUCACUUAUAGAUGGAUCCGCGCCGCAUUAGCUAGUUGGUAAGGUAACGGCUUACCAAGGCGACGAUGCGUAGCCGACCUGAGAGGGUGAUCGGCCACACUGGAACUGAGACACGGUCCAGACUCCUACGGGAGGCAGCAGUAGGGAAUCUUCCGCAAUGGGCGAAAGCCUGACGGAGCAACGCCGCGUGAGUGAUGAAGGUCUUCGGAUCGUAAAACUCUGUUAUUAGGGAAGAACAAAUGUGUAAGUAACUAUGCACGUCUUGACGGUACCUAAUCAGAAAGCCACGGCUAACUACGUG
rnacentral:rRNA from 1 species